rnacentral:rRNA from 1 species
UACGUAGGGUGCGAGCGUUAAUCGGAAUUACUGGGCGUAAAGCGUGCGCAGGCGGUUUUGUAAGUCUGACGUGAAAUCCCCGGGCUUAACCUGGGAAUUGCGUUGGAGACUGCAAGGCUGGAGUCUGGCAGAGGGGGGUAGAAUUCCACGUGUAGCAGUGAAAUGCGUAGAGAUGUGGAGGAACACCGAUGGCGAAGGCAGCCCCCUGGGUCAAGACUGACGCUCAUGCACGAAAGUGUGGGUAGCAAACAGG